rnacentral:rRNA from 1 species
GAUGAACGCUGGCGGCGUGCUUAACACAUGCAAGUCGAACGGAAAGGCUCCUGCUUGCAGGGGUACUCGAGUGGCGAACGGGUGAGUAACACGUGGGUGAUCUGCCCUGCACUUCGGGAUAAGACUGGGAAACUGGGUCUAAUACCGGAUAGGACGAUGGUUUGGAUGCCAUUGUGGAAAGUUUUUCGGUGUGGGAUGAGCUCGCGGCCUAUCAGCUUGUUGGUGGGGUAAUGGCCUACCAAGGCGUAGACGGGUAGCCGGCCUGGGAGGGUGUACGGCCACAUUGGGACUGAGAUACGGCCCAGACUCCUACGGGAGGCAGCAGUGUGGAAUAUUGCACAAUGGGCUCAAGCCUGAUGCAGCGACGCCGCGUGGGGGAUGACGGCCUUCGGGUUGUAAACUCCUUUCGCUAGGGACGAAGCGCAAGUGACGGUACCUGGAGAAGAAGCACCGGCUAACUACGUG